UCGUAAAUAAUAAAAGAAAUUUUAUCUGGGGAAUUCCAUAAACUGCACCUAGCGCGCAUGCGUGAAGACUUCAAUAAGUCAAAUCAGAUUUUGCAUGUACUCAUCUGUAUAUUAUUAAAUAUUGCAAUCCGAGAUAUCAAAUAUUUAUUAGUGCUCUUUUCUUAGUUCUGAAAUAUUUACAGUUUAGUAUUCACUAUUUCAUAUUCAGUAAAUUGUAUAAUUAAGGAAUCAUUAUAAAGAAAGGUCGAGCAGUACUCUUAAGGUUAUACGCUAAAUGCAAUCGAAUGACGAUGGUGAUAUUGAGGUAGAGUUUGAAGCAGUUAUUAUCUACAGAGAAGAAAAUACUGUACAAUCUGUUCUCGGUUUUCUGAUUCAAAAGAAAUGGAUGCUCAAACAAUAGAUAAACAUGUAUCAUCAAUUGUUCGUGAAAAAUAGUUAGACUCUGUUUUCGAUGCUUAACGUGAAUGGAACGUUGCCUUUAUCUCUACAUAAAUACUGUUAACUCUAUCACAAUUGUAAAUACAUAUUUAAUUUAUUCUAGUACUUAAAAGUAUACUUGGAUAGAAGAUUAUGAUGACUACACAUCAUAAACUACUUACGAACAAAUAGAUCAGUUAGCUGCAAAUCUGAUGAGGAAGCAUCCGCAGUAGCUGCUGUGUGCUGACCUAUGCAUGCUAUCCAAUGCGACUGUACACAUUACCUGUGGACACCGGUAUCUCUUUUGGCAAAGAAAAGAGCAGAAUUGAAGGUGCUUAGGGAGAAGUCUAAUAUAAUGCAGCAUAAGAAUUUGCAGAAGAUGUUUAUAUUUGUUGUACAAUCAUGUUAUUAAUAAAUACUAGAAAUACAUAA